UGAAACCUAGAUUGGAAAAUCGAACGAUCUACGCUUGGAAUUUCUGAAAUUCUACCUAACCAACAGCUAGAGCAUGGAAAAUAGCUAGAAAACCAUACCUCACUCGUUCGAUUUGGUGGCCGGAUGAAGGAGAACGAAACCUUUGAAGUUCUGUCAACUCCGGCGUGAUUCCAAGCUUUUUCCGGCGAAAAACAGAGGUUUCAAGGGCAGGGACCAGUCGGGAAAGGAAGAGGAAGCGGCGGUGGUUCAAUUGGGUCCGGUCCUGUCAGUUUGAGUGGAGUGUGGCGGUGGUUAUGGAGGUUUGAAGGUG
rnacentral:lncRNA from 1 species